rnacentral:rRNA from 1 species
CACGUAGGGCGCAAGCGUUGUCCGGAAUUAUUGGGCGUAAAGAGCUCGUAGGCGGUCUGUUACGUCUGCUGUGAAAACCCGGGGCUUAACCCUGGGCUUGCAGUGGAUACGGGCAGACUAGAGGCAGGUAGGGGAGAAUGGAAUUCCCGGUGUAGCGGUGAAAUGCGCAGAUAUCGGGAGGAACACCGGUGGCGAAGGCGGUUCUCUGGGCCGAAACUGACGCUGAGGAGCGAAAGCGUGGGUAGCAAACAGG